rnacentral:rRNA from 1 species
UACGUAGGGUGCAAGCGUUAAUCGGAAUUACUGGGCGUAAAGCGUGCGCAGGCGGUUAUGCAAGACAGAGGUGAAAUCCCCGGGCUCAACCUGGGAACUGCCUUUGUGACUGCAUGGCUAGAGUACGGUAGAGGGGGAUGGAAUUCCGCGUGUAGCAGUGAAAUGCGUAGAGAUGCGGAGGAACACCGAUGGCGAAGGCAGCCCCCUGGGAUAACACUGACGCUCAUGCACG